rnacentral:tRNA from 1 species
GAGUAUGUAAGGCCCCGAUGAGAACUGCUAAUUCCUCAUCCCCAUGGUUCAAAUCCAUGGCUUACUCA